rnacentral:lncRNA from 1 species
GCAGAUCCACAGGCAGCCCCCUCGCCCCAAUUUCAACCGGGCCGUCCUCUUCUCCUGCCGCCGACAGCUUCCACCACUGUCAUCCUCUGAUGGAAUUCGAACAAGCCAGCUUCGGCCGGUACUCCUUUUCUUCUCCACUAGCCGCGCAAUAACCUUAGAAAUCUUUCCCCCUCCCAACGAUGCGGGAAGCCGUGGUGAGUGCAAUUUUGGUUCUGCAAUAACCUUAGAAAGCUUUCCUCCGCCAUGGAGGAAGGGGUGCUCACCCUCAAUCUCCGUCGCGACCUUAGCCUCCAAAAAUGGAUGCAACUCCUUCCCCUGAGCAUGUGCAUAACCGGAGCACGACAUGGGGUGCCCUAAGUCGCCGGCAAUCGAUGUCGGGAUCCGCCACAGCUCUUUGUCGUCGCGCUCACUAAGGAUGAAGAACCAGACACGCGGGCCGCGCCUGACAUCCGAAGUACGUUUUCCCCUUGGAAAAAACGUGUGCCUGUGAGUGCGUGUCCCCUACCCCGAUAGCGUAUUUUGAUAAAACCGUGCACUUUUCUGAUUCUUUUAAAAAUAGCUUUAAACAGGAACUUUAUGUGGCCACAACUUUUAUAUACAACUCCAAAUUAAUUGAUUAUUUUUCCUACCUCUCUAAAUUUCCUCUAGUUUAUUUAAAAUUUUAUUUAAAAAAUGUUCAAACAACUUUUGCGUGCUGUUUUGAAUUUGUGUGUUAAUUCAAAUAUUUUCAAAAUAGGAUUUUGAAAGAGGAGACUCACUUCAAGAUUUUGGGGGUGUACAUCACCCUCCUCAAACUCCAAAGGCAAGCAUCUUGAACUCUGGUCUGCAUAAAGUUGUGUGAUGUUUGAUGUGGUGCAUUGAUUGCGUGAUUUUAGUUUAUGUUGAUAAAAAUCUCGCAUGAAAUCAUACCUUGUAUAAGAGUAUGUGAUGGAUUUUUUUGCUAAGUAUGUAGAAGGCAAGUGGUGAGUGGGUACUGCCUCAUGCCUCGUAUGGUAAGUUGGUAUGGACAACCUCGGAGUAAGGUGUGUCGUGGUGGAAUACGAGACCAUGGGCUGACAUCUCGUGGAACGAGAGUGGUCAGUGAAGGCAUGUCGGGAUAUGAUGGUAGUAACACUAAGAUAAUUUCCUUUCAGCAAGAUUGUGUGGUACUAACCUUGGAGGAAAAUCUUAAACCUCCUAAGUCGACCGUAGAUCGAGUCUUGUGUGUGUGUGUGUGUCACCUUACCUUUCGUGCUGCCACAUGUUUUCCCGAAAGGGAAUAUGGUUUAGUAGGUCGUAAACCUAUUACCAGGUACACACAAAGUAGAGAGGUCGGGAUGAAGGUAUCCAUGGCCCUGGACUAAAUCAAAUCAUUCGGUCAGGGGGCAUGGGUGUUUCCGGUCUGGGACCGAGAGGGAAUGGCCACUCCCUUGUAGCGGGCGGUAUAAACUUGAUCCCAUGCUAGUCGAGGUUGGAGCCUCCCCGUGUUAUGUUUUUUCUCUGGCAACAUAGUUCGAGUGAUGUCCGUCUUCCCGGGAAAAAAAGGGUGUGUACUGGUUGUGAGUGUUUACUUCUGAGAUACCGUACGCGGGAUUAGUCCGAUUGACUAUUGAAACCCGUGGGCUCUGGAUAAAGAGUACACCCUCUAUAGAGUCAAAACUAUAGAGUAGUCGUGUCCAUGGUCAAGGACGACUGUUGACUAGUCAACUGUCGGUCUGAGUGUCUGUCUUCGGAGGAAGUUAAAGGAAUCGUGAGACUAAUCAUGAAAUAUGGUGGAUGAUCAUAAAUACUAUUUUACUGUGGACUAACCCCUAUGAUUAUGGUUGUUGGAUAUCCGUGGGACGGUUAUACCUCCUGGAUAUUCAAUAUUUAUUAUUGUUUCAUAUAUUCCCUUUAUGUGGUGUCGCUCAGACGUCUGACUAUGGUAAUUGUUAUUUCUUUCAUAUAAGCCCUCUCCAAGGUGUCGCUCAGACGCCGUGUCAUAUAAGCCCUUUUUGUGGUCUCGCUUAGACGCCCGACUAUGGCAAUUGUUAUUACUUGCAUGUGAGCCCAUUAGGCGGUGUUGCUCCGACGCCCGACUGCGGCACACAUGCUAUUACUUGUUCAUUGUUAUCCUUCCUUGCUUGUUUAUACAACAUUGGAGGAAAUAGUUUAUAUGCAUGAAUGCACCCGUAGCUGUCUUCAGCUGCCACCGUAGCUGUCUUCAGUCGCCAUGUUAGAGCGCUGAAGAUUUAACCCGACAAGCCUCUCCCCCACUUCCUCAUGUUCGUCAUGUUCUUCGGAAAGUGUAACUAAAAUAUAAUUUUAUUUCCCAUGUAGAUCUUUUUGUUUCCAUAAAAUCUUCAAAAGUGUUUAUUCCUCAAGAAAUUCAUCAUAUGAACACUCCAUAUGCUUAGAUCACUUGAUAAAUUUCACUUGAUAAAAUCUUCAAAAGUGUUAUUCGUCAACAAAUUCAUCAUAUGAACACUCCCUAUGCUUAGAUCACUUCAGAUCUGCACAACUAUGGAACCUAAGACAAGAACACUUAGCGAAAUUCUUCAAGACAUUAUUGGUCAAAUUCCUCAACUUGAGUUGUUUUUGAAAAUCUUCUUAGAAAGCAUAUGAUCUCUUCAAAUUCUUCGCACCUAUACUGUGUUCAUAGGUACAAAAUGUAUGUUGACGAAUCUCUAAGUUCUCAUCAACUUAACUCAUUAGCAGCAUUUCUUGUAGAAAAUUUGCACACCUCCUCGAAGUCCUCAAAAUUUCAAAUUCCUCAAGUGAAGAAAAUGGUUGAAGGAAAGAAAUAGCACAAAGGGAGAAAGAAUCAUGAGACCAACACAACUUUUGAAAUCCCUGAAGACAUAUAUGAUGAAUACUGCAUGCCAGAUGAAGAAAUAUAUGGGAAGGAAACCAAAGAGAAGCGCAAGACGCGCAUACAGAAAAUAGAAAGGAGAUUGGCUAGAGAGUGGAAGGAGUACACAUAUGUGACUCCCAAGAACAUCAAGAAAUUCGCACUGAAACCUCCCGGCCAAGACCUCCUCUUACUAAUGGACAAGUCGGUGAUCCCACUAGCUUUGUCACUCGUGAGGAAUUUCCUGCCGAGUGGACUAAGAAUCACGCAGAACUACAACAGACUGCAAAACAUUUCGUGAGCAUAUUCAAUUUGGAGACUGUUGUUGCAGCAGUUGUUGCUACCUUGUCAACUUUUGAAGCUUCUGGCACGGCAAUAGCUCUGAAGCAAGCUUUGGUGAAGAAUUAGGAUGUGAAGACAAAGUCUUCAGCUUCACAUCCCUCACAGCAGAUUCCUCAAUCACCUCCAACUGUGGCUGCAAUGUCCUCAGCGACUGCCACAAAGUCCUCAAUGCCAUUCCAAAUGGAAACAAUUCAGCGCACAAUGGGGACUGUGAUUCCCUUAGGACCCUCUACUUCUAGAUCUACACACACUUCUUCAAGUGCAACCAUGAAGAAAAAGAUGACCGCUGGGCGAGGUAAAAGACCAAGCCCCAACAAGGUGGUCUUCAACAUCCCCUCUGGAUCUGAGGAACAAGAGGCUAAUGAUGAAGAAUUGGCUCAAAUCAUCAGAAACAAACAAGAUAGGGUUGCCCAAGAUAAAGGCAAAAAUAUUCCUCUCAUGCUGGAUCCCAAGGUGGUUUUAUACUUCAUCGACCUAUGGUAUCAAAAUCCUCACACUUUGAUUGACGAUUUGCAGCUUCCACCUGGGCCAAGCCAUGUGUUAGCUGCAUUCAUUGCUGAAGAAAAAUGGAAAGUUGGGAAGGCCAAAACGGCCAGAAAGGAACAAACUCGGAAGGAGAGGUUUUUUAAGAACAACAUCCUCUCCUUAACCCCUGAUGAUCUUGUUUCCACCCAGACUAAGAUCAAAAAUCACAGUGAAGAAUACAGUCGCUAUCAGGCGGACUACAAAGGUGCAAAGGCUAGAUUCAUCAAUGUUGCCACCAAAGCCAUCACGGAUCACGACACCAGUGUUGUAGCUCCAACGCAACCACAAGUUCCUCAGGCCAGCUCCUCCACGUAGCCACCUGAAGAAACUGUUAGAGCUAAAGAAAUUCAAGCGCCUGAAGACUUUUUACUUGAAGAACCUGCCAUGCAUGCUGAAGAAACUGUUGUGCGUGAAGAAAAUGCUCCUGCUAGGAUGUCUCCAUCAUCCGUGCUUCAAGAAUCAGCUCCAACAACAAAAUCUUCAAAGGUGAAUAAAUUUACACUUCCUUCUGCAUCACAAGUGAAGAAAACUAAGGCUGUUGAAAAGGCAGUCGCUAAGAAGUAAAAGGCUUCAACAAGCACAAAUUCCUUAGAAACCAAACGCUUGAGGACUUUUUCAAGCUCCUCAAGUGCACUAUUGAUGCUACUCCAAUCAUCAUGGUACCCUCUUAUGAGAUGCUUCUAUAAGGUAUCGAACAUGUCAUCCCAGAAGGGGUGAAGAAAUUGAAGAUAAUCGAUCUGAUGUUUCAACAGAGCAGGUUGAUGAAGAAAUUGAACUAGAACUAAAUACUUCAAUUCCUCAAGCAUCAUCACCUCCACCUCAGCAGGGAAUUGAGGCGGGUGUUGAAGAAAUGGAUGAAAACGUGGACAUUGGCUGCAAAACACUAGUUAUAAAUGAUGAAUAUUGGUAAGAAGCUCAUCCGAACUCACUGUUGGCCACUCCAGUUCCUCAAAAUCCUUAGUCCCCUCCUAACACAAAGAUAUUCAUACAUGGUUUGAGGACAAAUACACUCCAAUGAAAUCUAUCCCGAAGGAAGAAACAACUGCAUCAGCUGACCAAACUAUGAAUCAAACCGCCACUGAGGAUACUGCAGUACCGGUCAUUGAUGAAUCUGCAAAGCAUGUUUCUCAAACUGAAGAAGUUGUGGCUGAAGAAACUCCUCCUCAAGGUGAGGAUAUUGCUCAUGACCCUCAUGUUCAACAUCCUUAGUCGGUAGUACUUUUUUCUCAAGUUCUUCAAACUGAAGAAGAGCUCCGAAGACUUGCGAGCAGAUACAAGCCAAAUUUUCAAUUCAAGACUCUUCAGCCCUUCAAAGGUACAAACAGACCCAAAUUCCUCAAGGAGAUUUUUUUCAUGAACAUCAUUUUUUCAUUGGUGCAAAUUUGUAUGACUCCGCGAGGAUAAGACACAAGAGAUUAUGGACUGCAACUCACAUGAACUUUUAUGGUGUUGUGCUCUUCGGGAAGAAUAAGCUUUUUCAGCAUCAACAAAUUCCUCAUGCAGCCAUGGAAUUCAUUCCCUACUUCACGCUAGUCCCCAGUGUUCUUCAUGAUGCUGGCCUACUGACGUUCUGCAUGGAUAUAUGUGAAUGGAAUGAAGAGCUAAUUCUUCAAUUCUAUGCCACUCUGCUUCUCUCUAGUGAAGCACAAGAUGUAAACACUUGGGUUCUUGACUGGAUGACUGAAGCAGACACUACACUGCUCCUGCAAUGGAAUUGCUUCAUGUGGACCGAGUUGAAAUCCCCUCAGAAGGAGCUAGACACAUAUAUGAUGAACCUGAGCUGCCCAAUCACCUGAUACAAGUGUUGAUGAAGUCUUCGGAUCCUGGUAAGCCACCAUGGACCACAUUCCUCAUCAAGGAUCUGUUGUAUGUGCCAAGGACCAUGUACUUCAUCUUGACCAAAACCAUCAGCCCCAUCAAGGGUCAUAACUCUUAAGAAGAAGACGUGGUGGGAAUCAUGAAGAAUUUUCUAUUCAACAUCAUUCAUGUGAUUCCCAUCAAUCUUCAUGAUUUCUUCAUGAGGACUUUGGCCAAUAUUGCUAUGUCACCCUUUGAACCAAAGCCUUAUGCGCCAUCGAUCAUGAAAUUUAUCAGGUCCACAUCCUCAAUUCCUUACAAAGCUGAUUUUCAGAAUCACUUCAGCUAUCUGCUCCCACUCGAAGUCCUCAAGAAAUGCUUCGAGAUGAUUGAAGGCAAGCGAAAAACAGUUAUUGAUGAAGGAUAUCGUCCCCUUGAUGGACAAUUUCGCAAGGCAACAUCCUACUCAAACAAUGAUGACACUGCAUCGCAAGACUCUGCUGCAAAAUCCAUAGCUAAAGUUCCUUGUUAGUCUACUGUGAGAGUGAGGUCAUUCCCGUGAGCUUCAACUAAGUCUUCAUCAAAAGGUUGAUCACAAUCAAAAGUGGGUAAAGCGUCAGUUUGGUGCCAUUGUGCUUGAUAUGAGUGCGAUGCAUAAUACCAUGAGGAAGAAUCACUAUUAUCUUCACGAAAUCUUUGAUCGCAGAUGGGUAAUUCUGUCUCACCUCAAGACUCAUGAAGAACUCGAGGAGAUAGAAUUUCAGCAAGACUUUGACUAGUCGUGGCCGCCAAAAAAGAAAUUCAACAAGGUUCAUGUUCCUAUACUAGUGACUAGUUCAUUUUCUUCAUCGCGAUCAACUGAUGAAGCUAGGAUCUUGACGACACUACAGCCGGCCCUACGAUGACAAACGACCCCAACAACGCUGGUGCUCCUCCUCCACCAACAAGUUGAAACUCUUCAGGGGCUUUAGUCCUCAAUUUCGUCCCGUUUCGUCACUUGGUCACAAAGGGGGAGAAAUAUGAGUUAGACUUCAAGCACCUCUUACCUUAUGGGCUAUUUUUUUUGUUAAGUUGAAAUUCUCGUUCUUCUGAAGUAUUUGGUUGUAUGAGUUAUAAACUUAUGUCCGGUGGUGGUCUUGCACUUUUGAACCAUUUUCUUCGCAUGCUUAUACCUCACGUUGAUUAAUGCGCGCAUGCUGAAAUUCGUGAGACACCACUUUCCACAUGCAUUUCAACUUCCACAUGUAUUUUCGUGGCUCUCCCUUGCGAUACGAGGAUAUUUGGGAAUUUAUAGGCUGAGGAAUAGGGUUAGGACACCUGCAGGGGACCCACAAGUCAGGGGGCGCGCCCUGUAGGCUUGUGACCUCCCGGCAGGUGCCCUGCCCCUACUCCAAGUCUUCUAGGUUUCUUCUGGUCCAAGAAAAAUCAUUUCGGAGAUUUUUAUUCCGUUUGGACUCCGUUUAAUAUUAUUUAUCCGCAAUACUCAAAAACACAAAAAAAACAGAAACUGGAACUAGGCUCUAGAUUAAUAGGUUAGUCCCAAAAAUAAUAUAAAACAACAUAUUAAUGCAUAUAAAACAUCCAAAACAUAUAAUAUAAUAGCAUGGAACAAAUCAAAAAUUAUAGAUACGUUGGAGACGUAUCAACCACCCUAGGGUCCACCACCAAGACCAGCCCGUCCGCCUUGCCAAAGUCCCUGUCGCUGGAUCACGACCUCGCGUGUCCAGCCACAUUGGCAUCUCCUGCACGCCGCUGCCCUGGAGCGGCCUAACCACGAGCUCCUCGCCAUUGGGCCAGGAGGACUCCGCCGCCUUAGACCCCGCCGUCAUUGGGGACCUGUAUCCCAGGUUCGGGGUCGACCGUCCCUUGCCCACGCUGGCAGCAAGCCGCCAUAGCCUGCACCAGCACCAGCAUCCCCGACCUGGCAAUAGCACUGCUCUCUCUUUGUUUUUCAGGUUCUUCCUAUUCGCGCCAAAGUAUAUUUCAUAUAGUGAAGAACCACGAAUUGUCACAAUCCCAUCAUAGUGCGACUAGUCAAUGUGUUGGUCUGGAACUAGGAUAUCCAGGGAUCGAGUCCCCAUGGAUGCCUAUUUUUUUUCAUGCAUUUUGUCUUGCAGUACAUCACCUUUGGAUUAGGUUUCAUAUACAAUUUAGUAUCGAUGUUUUUCACAAGCACAAUAUCUAGCCAAGUUGGCUAGCACACGCAACAUAUAUCAAUGGGGCCUGGUGCUCAAACCCUAGGCGGCCCUCGAAGCCUUUUCUUUUGUUCUAUUUUUUUUAUUUCCAUGGGAAAUUGCACACAUUUUGAAAACGCUGUCAACAUUCAAAUGGUUUUCCCAAUGUAAACAAGUUUUGUAUGGUUAAUGCUCAGAAUUUGAUGUAUUUUCCAUUGGUACAAUUUCUACAUUUUUUAAAAAUGUUUAGCUACUAUUCUGUCUAGAUGAAGUGAAUGUAAAUUGUUUAGGGCCAUAUAGGUAGUUAAAGACUUUGGAUUUUCGUAACUAUAUAAAAGUGCAUCGAUUUAAAAUAAGUUAUAUAUGUUACAUGUUCAGAAUUUUGUGUAGAUUAAUAAUAUUCCACUUUAUCCAUGUUUGAAAAUGUUUAACUUGAUGUUUUAAUUACUUUGAAUAAAUGCCAUGUUAAAACAAUUUAAUUCAUAGCUAAUUGAUCGUGGCUCUAAUUAAAAUGUUUCACAUAUGUAACUUGCCUAGAUUAUCAUGUAGUUUCAUAAUAUCUUGUGCAUCCAUGUUUUAACAUGCUUGUGGCUGUCAUUUGCAUAAAUUUUGCAUUCAUGACAUAUCUUUUAGACCGUAGCUCCAUUUCAAAUGAUCUAUAUAUGUAAAUCGACUAGAAUGACGUGUAGAAUCACAAGGUCCACAUUUUGAAAACGCUGUCAACAUUCAAAUGGUUUUCCCAAUGUAAACAAGUUUUGUAUGGUUAAUGCUCAGAAUUUGAUGUAUUUUCCAUUGGUACAAUUUCUACAUUUUUUUAAAAUGCUUAGCUACUAUUCUGUCUAGAUGAAGUGAAUGUAAAUUGUUUAGGGCCAUAUAGGCAGUUAAAGACUUUGGAUUUUCGUAACUAUAUAAAAGUGCAUCGGUUUAAAAUAAGUUAUAUAUGUUACAUGCUUAGAAUUUUGUGUAGAUUAAUAAUAUUCCACUUUAUCCAUGUUUGAAAAUGUUUAACUUGAUGUUUUAAUUACUUUGCAUAAAUGCCAUGUUAAAACAAUUUAAUUCAUAGCUAAUUGAUCGUGGCUCUGAUUAAAAUGUUCCACAUAUGUAACUUGCCUAGAUUAUCAUGUAGUUUCAUAAUAUCUUGUGCAUCCAUGUUUUAACAUGCUUGUGUCUGUCAUUUGCAUAAAUUUUGCAUUCAUGACAUAUCUUUUAGACCGUAGCUCCAUUUCAAAUGAUCUAUAUAUGUAAAUCGACUAGAAUGACGUGUAGAAUCACAAGGUCCACUUUAUUUUGCUGCUUAAAAAGUAAGUGUUUCCGGAUUGCUUAUUCUCAAUAGAGUUCCACAAGUGUGCCGGAGUGUGAGGAUUCGUUCGACUACGUUGGAUCAUCUUCUUCAUGGAUUCGUUCUUCUUCCGAGCGAGAUCACACGCAAGAUGAUCAUUUCCAUAGAUACCAUUACUAUCAUUGCCAUGCUAUUUGUCUCAUAUCUUUUGCUAUGUAUCGCUGCCUACCAUUUAAAUGUCAGCCUCCCAACAUUGCCAUGAAAACCUCUAAGCCCUCCACAUCCCAGCAAACCACUGUUUGGCUAUGUUACUGAUUGAUGAGACUUCUUAUAACGUUCCUUGUUGGAGGCGCAGUUGCUUUCCAUUUGAAAACAUGGGUUCCUUGUUUUAUCACCAUAUUAUUUUUAUUUAAAUUAAUGCACCUAUAUAUCUGGUAAAAGGCGGAAGGAUUGGCCUUUUGGCUAGGUGUUUUGUUCCGCUUUUGCCACCUUAGUUUUGGCUACUGGUGUUAAGUUCCAUACUGAGCACUCCUAACAUGCUUGGGGUUGUUAUGGGGACCCUCUUGUUAUUCGUUUUGGGAUAAAACUCUUCUGGCAAGGCCCAACAUUGGUACUACAUUUUCCUAAUGACUAAUUAACCGCACAGGGAGUAAUUAACUCGUGGGUAAUUAAUCAACCCCCGGGCCACUACUCCUCAUGAGUGUUGGCCUAAACUAGAGACACUUGGAGGGCCACCCAGGGCAACUCGGGGGAUAUCAAUCCGGCCACCAUACGUGGUGAUCAUCUAUCGUGUCGUGAGAAUGAGUUACACGGCUCCUAUUGGGAUCAUCAACACAUCCGACGCCUUGCUGGAUUCGUUUUACCUUUCUUGAACGUCUUGUGCGAGGGAUUCCGAGGUUACUUUGGGCUAUCUUGAGGUUGAGGUUUUCCACCAGGUCACGGGUUGUCUGCGGUCGAGGUUUGUGACGCAGCGUGUUGUAAUUUGUGAUGGACUAGUUGGAGCACCCUUGCAGGGUUUUGUCUUUCGGAAAGCCGUGCUCACGGUUAUGUGGGAACUUGGAAACUUUGUUUAACAUCUGGUUCUAGAUAACUUGAAGUAAACUUAAUUAAAAUAUGCCAACUAUGUACGUAACCAUGAUUGUAUCUUCUCCUGAGUUCUGCUUCCGGAAGUAGGUGUUCAUGAUCAUUCAUUUGAUCAUUAUUAAUUCACAUUCGUUUAUGCGUAGAUCACCCCCUCUUAUUCUUGUACUCAUCACUUAGCCACUCAAAUAAAUGCUUAGUCGCUUGGUGCAGCCUCAUCACUUAACCAUACCUUACUCAUUAAGCUUUGCUAGUCUUGAUACCUUUGGAAAUGAGAUUGCUAACUCCGUGUGGCUCACAGAUUAGUAAAACAAGAGUUGCAGGUACAGGUAAAGAGAUACUUUAACGUGAGCGCGAUGACUGUGCCAUUUGGAGUUUAUACUUCUUCUUCUUCAUCAUCGAUCUAGGAUGGGUUCAACGCCGGCAUCCUGGGAUAGCAAGGAUGAACGUCGUUCUUUUAUCGUUUGUUUUCGUCCGUAGUCGGACGUUGCUCUUCUACAUGAUGAUUGAAUAUAUUGUUGUAUUUUGUUGUUCAUGUUCUAGCUUGUGGCAAGUGUAAGGCAAUUCCAUUUACUCAUAUCUUCCGUACAUGUACUUCUAAUGAUAUCCAUUGUUGCAAAAUGAUGAGAUG